rnacentral:sRNA from 1 species
GCUGAGAGAUAAGGGAGUGUACCGAUACGCAUUGCUUUAUUGAGCUUUCAGGAGGGGUUGUGCAGAGAAACCUCAAAUCGGUGUAGGUUAUAAGACCGAAAGAAAAUGCUC